rnacentral:lncRNA from 1 species
UUCCUAUAGCUAAACUAAUGCACACGAUCAAAUCUAACACUGACAUUUGUUCUUGGAGCCAGACAGAAAGCCAAGUACAGAUACAGAGUGUUUUCAAGAUGAGAUUAUUUGGUGUUUUUAACUAUUUAAGUUGAAUGAUGAAAACACAUGACUUCAACAAUGACAAACCAAAUUGGUUAGUAUCCUGCUUAAUAACCGUAGUUUGCUCCAUUCACCGGGCCAUAGCCUCCAGUGUGGCUUGCAUGUGCUGGGUUGGAUGCAGGAGAUGCAUACAUCGAACCAUGAGCUGCAUAAGAAUUAUAGCCUGGGUCAGCAGAUCCACCAGUUUGGGCCUGUGCUGGUGCAGCAGCUUCAGCCAUAAAAUUCUGCAACACAAACAAUCAUUACAAGCAGACAAGUCCAAUUUGAUUACAUAAUGAAGCAUUGACAAAGAAUAAACAAAAUUUUAAUGGAAAAAUCGACUUUUUUGGUUGAGUAAGAUCCCAAUAAAACAAUAAUUAAACAAUUCUAUAUUAUAAGUAAAAAUCAAUGAUGAAGCUAAAUGGAAAAGAAUGAAGUCCAACUGUCUGAAUUGCUGACCACACUUAACAUUUCAAUAAUAUAUAUCCUAUAAAAAAAAUUCUUUAAUUCUUUAAUUCUAGUAAUAAAGUCGGUCCCACCAUACCUACCCCCACACGCACCCAAACACCACAUACAAGGAGACAUCAGAAACAAUGAUCUAAUGCUAAGCAAUGUCAUUAUGCAAAUGGAAACUGCAAUAUUAGCAAAGACAAACCAACAACUUGGUAUCAAAAACAGGGAGGAAAAGUGCCUGUAUCAGUUGCUGAGCUGCUUGGACUUGGGAAGCAGUUCCAUUGAUU